ACGAACGCUGGCGGCGUGCUUCACACAUGCACGUCGAACGGAAAGGCCCUGCUUUUGUGGGGUGCUCGAGUGGCGAACGGGUGAGUAACACGUGAGUAACCUGCCCUUGACUUUGGGAUAACUUCAGGAAACUGGGGCUAAUACCGGAUAGGAGCUCCUGCUGCAUGGUGGGGGUUGGAAAGUUUCGGCGGUUGGGGAUGGACUCGCGGCUUAUCAGCUUGUUGGUGGGGUAGUGGCUUACCAAGGCUUUGACGGGUAGCCGGCCUGAGAGGGUGACCGGCCACAUUGGGACUGAGAUACGGCCCAGACUCCUACGGGAGGCAGCAGUGGGGAAUAUUGCACAAUGGGCGGAAGCCUGAUGCAGCAACGCCGCGUGCGGGAUGACGACCUUCGGGUUGUAAACCGCUUUCGCCUGUGACGAAGCGUGAGUGACGGUAAUGGGUAAAGAAGCACCGGCUAACUACGUG
rnacentral:rRNA from 1 species